CCUUCAAGAAUCACCUCAGUCCACCAUUAAAUUAGUUCAAACCCUUAUUGAAAAGAGGAAACCAACAAAAGAAAAUCUCAUCAAACUCAGUGGAAUUAAUAUAUAUAUAUAUAUGGCUGAUGAAUUUCAUACUUUUUUUCCUCCUCCUUAUAAAACAAUACUGUUGACCCCUCUCGAGUCCAUUACAACACUUAACAGGCAAAACCACGAAGCUCCUCCAUGUCAUCAUCUGCACUCUACACAGCCCUGACAACUAUUAACAAUUACACCGUCUUCUCCUUUUUAUUUCUGUGUUUAAUUUUCUCUUUUGAUUCACACUUCCAAACUUCAAACUUAACCACAUGAAUGAAAAGAAUCCAAGUCUAUUUUGUAGUUUACCCAACUUCCAUUACUUAUACCACACGUAGCUUGACAGCGAGCGCAAACAGCAACUCAGAUCGGUCCCCCUCCCCCAUCACCGUGCACUGUUCUGUAAUUAGAAGAUUUUAUAUUUUAAAGAAUUAAAAUGAGAAAAUAAAACAUGUAAUUAAUACGUUAAUUACCAAUAAUAAUAUACGUACAUGUGGGGUUAGAACUUAUGAGAAUAUCAUCUUCCUUCAAAGCUCACCUGGCCCACUCCUCUGGUUCCCACCAAUCCACCACAAAGAGGAGAGCUUGGAGAUCAGCCAACUGGCACCUCCCCAAUAAGCUCUCGCCAUGUCAGAUAAAUAAUGAUUACGUGUAUGAUGGAUGGGUACAAGUGGUCCAACCUCGUGGCAAGACACGUGGCCCAUGCAGUCAACCCAUGCAAUGGGAACCACCCCCCCCCAACAGUAUGAGUGCCACGAGGCAAAUACGUUGAAAAUAGCGCGGAAGAAAUGAAGGCGAUGAAACGCAUAAUUUCUUGCAGUAUAAGGAGAAGAAGAGGUUCUGUUUGAUCAAACAAUAGCCGUCCGAUUCAUCAUGUUUGCGAUGGACGGCGAUGAGUGGUCGAGGAGCCGCGAUACGUAGGAUACAAGGAUGUAUCACAAUAAACUUAUAUCUAGAAUAAUAAGAGGUGGGGUUUAAAGUAAUUUCCUGGAGACGUCAGAAUCGGUCUCCAUCCAAAUUGGAGCAUG
rnacentral:lncRNA from 1 species